UGAAGAUUACUCGACUUGACAACUACGCUCUUACUAUCUUAUUGUCAAACUGGCAAAGGACAAGUUUGGAGCCAUUCACACGGAAUACCAAAAGGCCAUCUACUAUGAGAUAGGCUUCUUAGUAUGUGCGGCAGUGGGCCUGCUGUUCGCUGUUCUGAUGCCGAUAGUCGGCCUCUUCUUCUGCAUGUGCCGCUGCUGUGACAACUGCGGUGGCGAGAUGCACCAACGCCAGAGGAAGAACGCAGACUGCCGGCGUGGCCUGCUGGGAACAUUGCUCUUCUCCACCUCACUGGUCAUCACGCCACACAAUCAUGGGGAAGACUGCUGACUUGACAGCUG